rnacentral:rRNA from 1 species
ACUCAAAUGAAUUGACGGGGGCCCGCACAAGCAGUGGAGUAUGUGGUUUAAUUCGAAGCUACGCGAAGAACCUUACCAGGUCUUGACAUCCCUAGAACCUCGCAGAGAUGCGAGGGUGCCGUCAAGGAACUAGGAGACAGGUGGUGCAUGGUUGUCGUCAGCUCGUGUCGUGAGAUGUUGGGUUAAGUCCCGCAACGAGCGCAACCCUUAUGGUUAGUUGCCAUCAUUAAGUUGGGCACUCUAGCCAGACUGCCGGUGAUAAAUCGGAGGAAGGUGGGGACGACGUCAAAUCAUCAUGCCCCUUAUGUCCUGGGCUACACACGUACUACAAUGGCUGUUAACAACGGGCAGCUAAGCCGCGAGGCGGAGCCAAUCCCUAAAAAGCAGCCCCAGUUCGGAUUGCAGGCUGAAACUCGCCUGCAUGAAGUUGGAAUUGCUAGUAAUCGCGAAUCAGCAUGUCGCGGUGAAUACGUUCCCGGGCCUUGUACACACCGCCCGU